rnacentral:rRNA from 1 species
AAAGUGUUCCUAGAAAGAUA